GCCCAGGGAAGCGUAGCUGCUGUCAGUCCAAGGCCAGCUGACGAAGAGGCUGUUUGUGGACACAGCAUUGGGAAUGCUUGUGUAUGGGUGCUGUGAGCAGUUCUGUUCUGGAGAAGCGUUGUUUACCUUGGCUCAUCCUGAAAGGCCAGUGGAGUGUUUCAAACAGGGCAAGCUGACGGCUGGGCAGAUUGAAGAGAUUACCGUGCAAGAGCUCUGGGGUGGCAGGGGGUCUGGAAGUUCCACAGAGCUUAUCCAAAAGUCAGCUGCCAUCUCAUGCAUAUGCAGCCCCUACAGAUGCCAAAGGAAAUGGGAUGGAAG
rnacentral:lncRNA from 1 species